GCCUGGGUGGCUCAGUCGGUUAAGCGCCAGACUUCGGCUCAGGUCAUGAUCUCACAGUUUGUGAGUUCGAGCCUCAUGUCGGGCU
rnacentral:tRNA from 1 species